UGAGGAAUAUUGGGCAAUGCCCGAAAGGGUGACCCAGCAACGCCGCGUGGAGGAUGAAGGUCGUAAGAUUGUAAACUCCUGUUAGAGGGGAAGAAUAACUAAGUUUGGAGCUUAGUAUGACUGUACCCUCAGAGAAAGCCCCGGCUAACUACGUGCCAGCAGCCGCGGUAAUACGUAGGGGGCAAGCGUUGUCCGGAUUUACUGGGUGUAAAGGGCGCGCAGGCGGGAUAAAAAGUCAGUGGUGAAAUCCUACAGCUUAACUGUAGAACUGCCUUUGAUACUUUUAUUCUUGAGUUCGGGAGAGAGAGACGGAAUUCCAGGUGUAGUGGUGAAAUACGUAGAUAUCUGGAAGAACACCAGUUGCGAAGGCGGUCUCUUGGUCCGACACUGACGCUGAGGCGCGAAAGCGUGGGGA
rnacentral:rRNA from 1 species